rnacentral:misc_RNA from 1 species
UCUCCGUUGGUGAACCAGCGGAGGGAUCAUUAUCGAGUUUAUAACUCCCAAACCCUAUGUGAACUUACCACUUGUUGCUUCGGCGCGCGCUUCGGCGCCGCCGAGGACACUUAAACUUUUUGUUUUUAUAAGCAUUUCUGAGUGGCCGAAAGGCAAAAUACAAAUGAAUCAAAACUUUCAACAACGGAUCUCUUGGUUCUG